UUUAGACACUAUAUCCAGUUUAAUGACAUAAAGCAGAUACAGUGCCUACAGUGUCCAUUUAAGUGUUUACCUUCACAGUGAUAGGUCAACAUGUAGGUUCACUAAUUCUAUAUCUAAUUAUGAUGUUACCAAGGAAUAACAGAUGCAUAUUGUUCUCCUACCACCUAUGACCUCAGACUAUAGCCUGGAGAAUUAAAGGAAUGAACAUUUUUAAAACUUAUCUCGGG